CCAAUCAGAGGCUGAAAGGAAGUUACCAGGUUACACCCGUAUGCAAAUGAAGACUUGGCUGGCGGCCAGUCUGAUUAGUUGUGGGAGGGGAACAAUCAGAGGUACUUUCCAUUUUUCCUCUGCCAGGCAGUGCAAAGUGGGGAGUUGCAAAGGGAGUGGCCUCUGAUUGUUUUGUUACUUGGGCAUGGAGGUGUGGGGUUUUCCUUUUGAUUUAGUUCUAGGAAGUCAGCGUGACUCAGCCUUAGGUUCUCUGCCUCACAGGAGCCGGCUCCUGAGUGUCUGUUGUGCCCUGCAGAAGACUCCAGGCUAGACGGGAGUCCCUACGGUCCUGCUGGCCUCUGCUCUCCUCUGGGCCCGCCCCAUGCCUGCACACGAAGGUUCUCAGUCUGUGUGUGUUGAAUACACGAAGGACGGUGCACACCUCCCACCGUGAAACAUUGGGAAAGCAUGCAAGGCAGGGAUGGGCCUUCAGAAGCAAACUGAGGUCUGGAGGCAGCCAGUGCCCGGCUUCUGGCACCUUCCAGUCAUCGUUCCACUUCAACAACCAUUUCCAGAGCUCCUUGGGGGCGCGCAGCCAGCUGAGCUGGUGGGACUGUGAAGAGGUGGCUCGCCCUCCCUCGAGGCAGGGCCUGGCCUGGUUCUGGCUCUUGUCCUCACCUGGACGCUCUGUUUUUGGAAUGAGGGCCACUCCAUGUGCCCUGGACAUUCGGCUGCGAUCCUCUGAGGCACGGAAUGGAUUCUCCUUCCUGCUUCCCAGAACUGAGACUUGGGCGAUGAUGUAAAAGGAGGAGAAGCACCCGGGAAGCCCCGAAUUCCUGACACAGGAAACCUCUGGGGGACAGGGAGGCCGGCCCUGAAACCCUCUUGUCUUUUGAAAUCGUCCACAGCCCCUCAUCAGGGACAAGGAGGAGGAAGCCAGCACCUCCUUUCUGCUCGCCAACCCCCAGCCAGGCCCUGCAGACUCUCCCUCCCAUGUCUAGGCAGUCUGAGAAGAAGCAAUUUGGUGCAUGUGAAUUAUUCAGAGCAGUCAAAGUGAGAGGAAGGACUGAGGCAACCCAUCUAGAAACAGCCAGAAAAGAGAUCCCAGCUCGAAACCACUCAUAAGGUUCAUCUUGAAAACAAAUUAGCGACAGGAUUCUGGAUAACCCUGUGCUCUUCUGCAGGCUUUUCAAUUACUGGCCUGCUGACGUUCACCUCUGGCAACCCCCCUUCAUCACUGACUCCAGAGAGCAAAGGUCCUUUGGACUCGCUCAUGGUCCUGUCCCAGCCACACUUCCGGCCAGCUCAGCGCAGCUCCAGGUCGUUUUUCAACACGUCAGCAGCACGACCGAGAAACGUCUCUGGCUCCGGACCACCCCGCCAGCUCCCGCCGUCAGAGCUCACCCAGAGGAUGGUAUUUCAGCCCCUUCUCAAAGUCAGCAGAAUAUGAUUUUACUGAUUGGAAGCACUGGGCUUGCCGAUUUCCUAUGGUGCCGCAGGGAUCCAGGCAUCUCCAUCUGUGAGCCUCCAGGGUCUCUGCAGAAGAGGAAGGCUCCACCCACACUUCCUUGGCUAGAGUCAGUCAUGCGGCCACAGCCUAGUGCAAGGGAGGCUGGGAGGUGUGGUUUCAGGAUACCAGUGAAGCAGGAAAUGAGAAGAAAAGGGGACCUGUUUCUGACAUUAUUAAAAUAAAAAAUGCAUCUCUGCAUACCUCUCAGGCCACAUCUGGGAAAGGCUGACUUUUCUGAGAGGCCAGCAUGCAGUGCUGGGUGACCUUGAGCAGGUGACUUACCCACUCUGAGCUCAAGUCUUUGCCACACAUAUGGAGAGGCUCACUGGAGUUUUCUAGCUGGGAAGAUUCGACGCACAGCCCACCUAGCACUUGGCCCAGGGCAGAGCCCGCUGCGGCUCGUUCCGCCCCCACCCCCACAAACCGUGUUGCAGACACCAAG
rnacentral:lncRNA from 1 species